rnacentral:lncRNA from 1 species
UCAACAAUUGUAUGCAGAGGAGAGUAGAGGCAGCAGUAAACCAAACACUCGUAAGGGACGGCCAUUAAAUCAAGGGAUCCCGACCUGCCCUGGAGGAAUUGUAAGAACAUGAGAGUAAAUAUGAGAACCAAAGAACAUGAUAACAAGAAAAUCAAGGAAUAUGAAAACUAGGGUAUGUGAAAACCAAAGAAUAAGGAAACCAAGAAAUAUGCAAACAUGGGAACGUAGAAAAGAGGGAAUAUAGGAAUGAAGGAGCAUGGAUGAACAAGGAAAUGGAUGGAUGUGUCAAAGAUUGUAGUACC